CAUGCAAGUCGAGCGCAGGAAGCAAGUUGAUCCCCUUCGGGGGUGACGCUUGUGGAAUGAGCGGCGGACGGGUGAGUAACACGUGGGCAACCUGCCUGUAAGACUGGGAUAACCCCGGGAAACCGGGGCUAAUACCGGAUAAUACUUUCUUUUGCAUAAAGGAAAGUUGAAAGGCGGCUUCGGCUGUCACUUACAGAUGGGCCCGCGGCGCAUUAGCUAGUUGGUGAGGUAACGGCUCACCAAGGCGACGAUGCGUAGCCGACCUGAGAGGGUGAUCGGCCACACUGGGACUGAGACACGGCCCAGACUCCUACGGGAGGCAGCAGUAGGGAAUCUUCCGCAAUGGACGAAAGUCUGACGGAGCAACGCCGCGUGAGUGAUGAAGGUUUUCGGAUCGUAAAACUCUGUUGUUAGGGAAGAACAAGUUGGGUAGUAACUGACCCAACCUUGACGGUACCUAACCAGAAAGCCACGGCUAACUACGUGCCAGCAGCCGCGGUAAUACGUAGGUGGCAAGCGUUGUCCGGAAUUAUUGGGCGUAAAGCGCUCGCAGGCGGUCCUUUAAGUCUGAUGUGAAAUCUCGCGGCUCAACCGCGAACGGUCAUUGGAAACUGGAGGACUUGAGUACAGAAGAGGAGAGUGGAAUUCCACGUGUAGCGGUGAAAUGCGUAGAGAUGUGGAGGAACACCAGUGGCGAAGGCGACUCUCUGGUCUGUAACUGACGCUGAGGAGCGAAAGCGUGGGGAGCGAACAGGAUUAGAUACCCUGGUAGUCCACGCCGUAGACGAUGAGUGCUAGGUGUUAGGGGGUUUCCGCCCCUUAGUGCUGAAGUUAACGCAUUAAGCACUCCGCCUGGGGAGUACGGCCGCAAGGCUGAAACUCAAAAGAAUUGACGGGGGCCCGCACAAGCGGUGGAGCAUGUGGUUUAAUUCGAAGCAACGCGAAGAACCUUACCAGGUCUUGACAUCCUCUGCUAUUCCUAGAGAUAGGAAGUUCCCUUCGGGGACAGAGUGACAGGUGGUGCAUGGUUGUCGUCAGCUCGUGUCGUGAGAUGUUGGGUUAAGUCCCGCAACGAGCGCAACCCUUGAUCUUAGUUGCCAGCAUUUAGUUGGGCACUCUAAGGUGACUGCCGGUGACAAACCGGAGGAAGGUGGGGAUGACGUCAAAUCAUCAUGC
rnacentral:rRNA from 1 species